CGGCUGACGGGCUGACACCGUCGCCGCUGUUCCACUUCCCCCGCCAUAUCUCGCGCCACCAGUAACUUAUUGAAAGUGUGCCCAUGGACCUUUUAGAUGAUAUUUUUGCUGGAGGUGCUUCAAAGACUGUCAAGGCUGGUGGCAAGUUUCAACCCAAGGCCAAGCCCCGCCCGGUGAAGAAAGGUCCAGCUGUUGCAUCCUCUUCUUUGACGUCAAAACCCACUGGUGAUACUGUGGCAACUGAUUACUCUGAAGGUUUUAAGAGUGCAAAGAAUUCUCAAAAUUGCGAUGAACAAAGCCCCGUGUUGGCAGAACCUUCCUUGGGGCGUCCUCUUGCUGCAGAAACUUUGGUUCCAUCCGUUGGUUCAAGUCUAGAUGCAAGUAUGGUAAUAACUGAUAACAAUGAAGAUUGGAAAUCUUGCUUUGAGAAAUCUGAGGGAGAGACAUAUAUAUAGGUUUGGAUUCAUUUGAUGAUUUACUUCCUCACUCAAGUGGCAUAGAUCCAUCUGCUGCUCAUGCUGCUGGUGCAGAGAAGCGACAAG
rnacentral:misc_RNA from 1 species